rnacentral:rRNA from 1 species
AGCGGCGGACGGGUGAGUAACACGUGGGCAACCUGCCUGUAAGACUGGGAUAACACCGGGAAACCGGUGCUAAUACCGGAUAAUCCUUUUCCUCUCAUGAGGAAAAGCUGAAAGUCGGUUUCGGCUGACACUUACAGAUGGGCCCGCGGCGCAUUAGCUAGUUGGUGAGGUAACGGCUCACCAAGGCGACGAUGCGUAGCCGACCUGAGAGGGUGAUCGGCCACACUGGGACUGAGACACGGCCCAG